rnacentral:rRNA from 1 species
CCUACGGGAGGCAGCAGUGGGGAAUAUUGCGCAAUGGGGGCAACCCUGACGCAGCAACGCCGCGUGAUUGAAGACGGCCUUCGGGUUGUAAAGAUCUUUAAUCGGGGACGAAUUUUGACGGUACCCGAAGAAUAAGCUCCGGCUAACUACGUGCCAGCAGCCGCGGUAAUACGUAGGUGGCAAGCGUUGUCCGGAUUUACUGGGUGUAAAGGGCGUGCAGCCGGAGAGACAAGUCAGAUGUGAAAUCCACGGACUCAACCCGUGAACUGCAUUUGAAACUGUUUCCCUUGAGAGUCGGAGAGGUAAUCGGAAUUCCUUGUGUAGCGGUGAAAUGCGUAGAUAUAAGGAAGAACACCAGUGGCGAAGGCGGAUUACUGGACGAUAACUGACGGUGAGGCGCGAAAGCGUGGGGAGCAAACAGGAUUAGAUACCCGGGUAGUC